AGCAGUGAAUAUUUUAGCUUAAAAUCUUUUUUCGCUCGACAUGGUAUUAAUUAUUUUACCACUGCUACACCCACCCCUCAAUAAAAUGUCGUCUCAAAACGACAUCGUCGUCGCCUCACAUUGCUUCUUGAUUGAUGCCGAUUCCGCGUAUCUUAUAUAAAUCAUUACUCCAAAAUAAAACCCUCUAAAAGGCUCUUUGUGGCCUGAAGCCCAUUCCGCGUGUCUUGAUCCAAAAAGACGUCGUAUCUAUAUUUUAAGGCCCAAAAGCCAUUGACAGAAACCCAUUCCUCUCCAGGUCACCAUCCUCCCCUGAUACUCUCUAGAGUCUAGACCCCACACUCAUCUCCUGUCCCCGUGCCACCCGUGAUGCUCUCUUCGCCAUCAGUGCCACCGGAAGAUGUUAUCACCAUUGUCACUGCAACUCCAGGAUACGGGUGCACUACGUUAUUUCUUAGGAGUGGAAGUCCUAACCCUUCGGGAUGGCAUCUUCCUUUCCCAGCAUAAGUGCAUCCAUGAUUUAUUGCAUAAUAGAAAGAUGAACGGUGCUCAAGAAGUUCGUACUCCUCUUUCCACAAGCCUACCUCUCAAGCUCCAUGAUGGUACUGCUUCCUUUGAUAGCACUGAAUACAGAAAGGGUUCUGGGAAGUCUUCAAUACCUCUCCCUCACUAGACCAGGCAUCUCUUUCGCUGUGAAUAAGCUGUCCCAAUUCAUGCAAAAACCAACUCAAACCCACUCGACAACAACUAAGACGCUGCUGCACUACUUAAAGCAAAUCAUCUUCCAUGGACUCAAGCUAACUUGCUGGCCUUUUCUGAUGCUGACUGUGUAGACAACCUUGAUGAUCGAACCGCAACUUCAGUAUACAUCACCUUUGUAGGCUCCAAUCCCAUCUCAUGGAGCUCAAAGAGACGACAUGCCACUACACGAUCAUCAACUGAAGCUGAGUACAGGGCCCCUGCUACUGCAGCCUCUGAAACGAUGCGGAUACAUUCCUUUCUCCAGUAACUACACUUCAAGCUCCGCUCCCCUUCGCUAUCUGGUUCAAAUGGGCACUCUUCAAGUCAGGCAUGUGCACACUCCAGACCAGCUGGCUGAUUUAAUGACGAAGCCUCUUUCACGGCAACGAACAGAACUCCCCAGAGGCAAAAUUGCCCUUGCUGAUGACAGCUCAAUUUUGAGGGGGUCUAUCAAAGCAAAUUACCCUUCAGCAAACUCACCAGAAUCCUAGCCUACAAUCAUGCAGAUUCUUACUAAAACUAGUACCACUGAUUACCAUAAUGUGCGUAGCAGAAUUCUAGCCAACAAAUUUGUAUUCUUCUAUUUUUAGCAUACUGUAAUUCCUUCAUUUGUGUAUACAAUCAGUAUAUAUUAGACAUCAAAUCAUAGUAAUAAAAUUGAGGAGAAUUUCCAUUGAAACA